GACAGAAGUAAUUGUCUGUUCAAAGUCAGCAGGAAGUGUGAAAGGUGUUACUAAAACUUCCAGAAAAGAUGAUAAAUAAGAGGUCCACCAAGAGAGCUGAAAGGCCAGGGAUACUUCUUUGUGCCCACUGCCUACCAGAGUUCCCAUGAGAAUGGCAAAAAAGUGUACAGAAUGCAUCAAAUCAGUAUAGAAUGUUUAAGCAAACAUGAACCAUGCCUUCAAGCACUUGUGUGUAUGUGGCAUAGUUACAAAAACCUGUUCAGGGGAGGAGAGCACACUCUUCCAUGGUGCCCAUGAUUGGUCUGAGCAACCCUGUUCAUCGUAGCAAUUCUUUCAGAAGUAUCUGUUGAAAUCGGUGAUUUUUGGCACAUUAUUUCAACAAAACAAUUUAUGAGAAAAUAAUGUGUGAGUGAAUUGCACCACUUUUCCUUCAUUCCCACACUCACCUGCUCCAUCCGGGAAUCUCAAAACCCUCACGUGCUCAGUUUGCUGAAAACUUCAAGUCCCUCAACUGAACAUAAAAGGAGCAGAAUCAAAUGCCUCUCUCUGUGCUUCUCACUAACUCAGUUGGUCACUCCUCCUUGAUCCGGUCACAGUCAAAACAGAGUCCGAUCAUCUUCUUUGCAUCAUACCUGUGAUAUAAUCAAAUUCUGCAAAAUUUGUUUUUUAAAAUCUUUUAAACUCUAGUUCUGCAAAUAAAUUAUUUGAUAUUUUUUAGAAAAUUGCUUGAAAUGCUGGCUGCCUUCAGUUCAAGUAAAGUGCAAAUAUCACCCAAACAGUUUCUGAUACAUUUGUGGAAAAUAUAUUACAGUUUCACAAAGGAGAAACAUCACACAAGCUAUUCAAAGACUUUUCAAGAUAACCAUCCUUAAUUUUGAAAAGAUAGACUAGAGGGAAGGCAACUAACUAGUCAACACCAUCCAAUGGCUGAAAGGACUGUGAAGACCAAGGUCUGGAGUUGGGGAGUUUGUCAUUCUUCAGUUGAUAGUUUGAAGUGUUGCUGAUCCAGAGAAACUCCACCUAGCAUCUAAUUGAGGAUGUCCGUCCACCACCCAAGCUUUGUAAACAUAUAUGUACAAAUAGCACAGGAGUAUCAUCAUUGUAGUGAAAAAAAACGAAUAAAAUUAACCCAUCCAACUAGUGAGUUUCAUAAUAAUGCAUAUUACCAUUUGUGCCAUUUCACUGUUUAUAGUUGAAUUUAACAAUUUUUUGAUGUGAAAUUUUGUGUGUAGAUUUCCUAAAAUAUUGCCUUUUGCACACAGUACAAAUUGUCUGCUUUUUGUUUCUUCAUUUGAGAAAUUCUAAACCUAUUACUAAAUUGUUUGGUUUUACAGUGAAUUUAUUUAAGUGUCCAUAUUAACAUGAAUGUAAAGUUGCAAGUAUGUUAAUCAUUCAUAUGAUAAAAGUUAGAUUUAUCACCUAUAAAACUUAUUGUUCAGUAGUUACUAGAUCUUUU